CGCUAUCACUCCUACGGGAGGCAGCAGGUAGGGAAUCUUCCACAAUGGGCGCAAGCCUGAUGGAGCAACACCGCGUGAGUGAAGAAGGGUUUCGGCUCGUAAAGCUCUGUUGUUAAAGAAGAACACGUAUGAGAGUAACUGUUCAUACGUUGACGGUAUUUAACCAGAAAGUCACGGCUAACUACGUGCCAGCAGCCGCGGUAAUACGUAGGUGGCAAGCGUUAUCCGGAUUUAUUGGGCGUAAAGAGAGUGCAGGCGGUUUUCUAAGUCUGAUGUGAAAGCCUUCGGCUUAACCGGAGAAGUGCAUCGGAAACUGGAUAACUUGAGUGCAGAAGAGGGUAGUGGAACUCCAUGUGUAGCGGUGGAAUGCGUAGAUAUAUGGAAGAACACCAGUGGCGAAGGCGGCUACCUGGUCUGCAACUGACGCUGAGACUCGAAAGCAUGGGUAGCGAACAGGAUUAGAUACCCUGGUAG
rnacentral:rRNA from 1 species